rnacentral:rRNA from 1 species
GAUGAACGCUGGCGGCGUGCCUAAUACAUGCAAGUCGAGCGAAUGGAUUAAGAGCUUGCUCUUAUGCAGUUAGCGGCGGACGGGUGAGUAACACGUGGGUAACCUGCCCAUAAGACUGGAUAACUCCGGGAAACCGGGGCUAAUACCGGAUAACAUUUUGAACCGCAUGGUUCGAAAUUGAAAGGCGGCUUCGGCUGCCACUUACUGAUGGACCCGCGUCGAAUUAGCUAGUUGGUGAGGUAACGGCUCACCACGGCAACGAUGCGUAGCCGGGCUGAGAGUGUGAUCGGCCAGACUGGGAAUGAGACGCGGCACAGGCUGCUGCGGGAGGCAGCAGAAGGGAAUCUGCCGCGAUGGACGAGAGUUGGACGGAGAAACGCCGCGUGAGUGAUGAAGGCUUGCGGGUCGUAAAACUCUGUUGUUAGGGAAGAACAAGUGCUAGUUGAAUAAGCUGACACCGUGACGGUACCUAACCAGAAAGCCACGGCUAACUACGUGCCAGCCGCCGCGGUAA